rnacentral:rRNA from 1 species
ACGGAGGGGGCGAGCGUUGUUCGGAAUUACUGGGCGUAAAGGGCGCGUAGGCGGUGACGUUAGUCGGGCGUGAAAGCCCCGGGCUCAACCUGGGAUCUGCGUUCGAUACUGCGUUACUUGAGAGCGGAAGAGGGUAGUGGAAUUCCCAGUGUAGAGGUGAAAUUCGUAGAUAUUGGGAAGAACACCAGUGGCGAAGGCGGCUACCUGGUCCGUUUCUGACGCUGAGGCGCGAAAGCGUGGGGAGCAAACAGG